rnacentral:rRNA from 1 species
UAAUACGGAGGAUCCGAGCGUUAUCCGGAUUUAUUGGGUUUAAAGGGUGCGUAGGCGGCCUAUUAAGUCAGGGGUGAAAUACGGUGGCUCAACCAUCGCAGUGCCUUUGAUACUGAUAGGCUUGAAUCCAUUUGAAGUGGGCGGAAUAAGACAAGUAGCGGUGAAAUGCAUAGAUAUGUCUUAGAACUCCGAUUGCGAAGGCAGCUCACUAAGCUGGUAUUGACGCUGAUGCACGAAAGCGUGGGGAUCGAACAGGAUUAGAUACCCUGGUAGUCCACGCCCUAAACGAUGAUAACUCGAUGUUGGCGAUAGACAGCCAGCGUCUUAGCGAAAGCGUUAAGUUAUCCACCUGGGGAGUACGCCCGCAAGGGUG